AGUGAAAUGGCUGACCUAAAGCAGCGGAUUGUAGCUCCGCCUAUGAGAAGUAAUUCUCUUUUACUA
rnacentral:tRNA from 1 species